GGCCAGACUCCUACGGGAGGCAGCAGUGGGGAAUAUUGGGCAAUGGACGCAAGUCUGACCCAGCAACGCCGCGUGAAGGAAGAAGGCUUUCGGGUUGUAAACUUCUUUUAAGGGGGAAGAGCAGAAGACGGUACCCCUUGAAUAAGCCACGGCUAACUACGUGCCAGCAGCCGCGGUAAUACGUAGGUGGCAAGCGUUGUCCGGAUUUACUGGGUGUAAAGGGCGUGCAGCCGGAGAGACAAGUCAGAUGUGAAAUCCACGGGCUCAACCCGUGAACUGCAUUUGAAACUGUUUCCCUUGAGUGCAGGAGAGGUAAGUGGAAUUCCUAGUGUAGCGGUGAAAUGCGUAGAUAUUAGGAGGAACACCAGUGGCGAAGGCGGCUUACUGAACUGUAAAUGACGCUGAGGCUCGAAAGCGUGGGGAGCAAACAGGAUUAGAUACCCGGGUA
rnacentral:rRNA from 1 species